ensembl:lncRNA
AAUGAUUCAGUGCAUUUGUUCACUGUCGUUUUUCACUCCAGGGUGUUGGUUUUCUCUCUUCUGGGCAGAUUUUGCUUUCAAACGAAACUAGUGGGAAACAUGUUUUGGGAAAAGAACCACUAAUGAGCUGUAACCUUGGUACUAUGGCUGAAAGGAUGCUCCUGGGUCAUAACCUUGGCAUCUUGUUACAGAAGUUCAGAAGUAGCUCCCAUAUGAUGUUGGUCGUAAAUCUAUCAAGUUCUGAUUUAAAGUCAUAUUCUUUGUCCUUAUUCCUCUUGUUAGAUAUUUUAAAACAGUAUGAAAGGGGCAGAGAGCCUUCAAAGAUUGCAGUUAAAUACCUAUGAUAAAUUUACGAUGAAGAAUUCACUAACUUUGUUCACAAUCAAUUGUUCUUUUCCCCUUCUUUGCUUGGCCUUUCAGUAUAUGAUGAGGGACCAAUUGUAUCUCACCCUGGGCUUCUCUGCUGAAAAACAUCCAGUCCCAAGGUUUUGGCCUUCCUUAGGGAGAACAGAGGUGCAGGGAAUGCUGAACUGAUCCAUUUGAGGCUGAGAUGAAGCAGCUUUUCCUCAUCCUGUAGCACAGACUUGAAGUUUACAACAGAGAGGUUGUUUCUUCCAAGGUGGAGAAGGAAGGCUUGGCUCAUUGAAGGGUUUCCAUCAAAGUGCUGUCCCUCCUCAGUGUCUCUGUCUUACUCUCCUGCCCUACAGCUUGCAUGUGAUCUUACAUGCAUUGUACUUUUCUGAGCCAAUGUAAAAUGGUCCUCAUGAGCUGUAAUGCUCACCCAGCUAUGACUGAGGCACAGCAUGUGUGCUGUGGGACCUUCAGGUGGCCCCAAGUCUCAGCAAGGAUUUGGGCAGCGUGGAGGGGGAGAUGGCUUCACAAGCACUUACACCAGCUCUGGUUCCUGAAUGCUUGUAUGUGACUGGCUUCUCUCAGCACAUAUUGCAUGUCUCCACAGUAGUUUGCAAGUCUGUGCAAGCAUAUGGUUUUUCUUAAUGCCUGUUGCAAGGAUAAAGAGUGUGGCUUGCCAGCAUUCAAGGUGCAGGAGUUGUGUGUGCCUGCAUUGUGCUCAUAAAAAGCUUGGGCUGUGAUAAUGGUACCUGGACAUUAUCAGAGCAUACAAUUACAGGAUAAGGGGGGUAAUCUCUUCCCUUCUGCCACCUUGCAGCACUUAUCGCAGCUCAGAUGGUGUUAAGAUGAGUAAGAUCUGACCUGGCAGCACAUGCAGUGAGAAUCUGCAAUGUUAGGAGUCUGCCGUUCCCAGAAAUGUGCAUUGCACGGUGAUGAUUAGGUUGGUCUAAAAACUCCAGCUUAAAAUUGAGCUUUGUUUAGACAUUGCCAUCGGUGUUCUUCUAGAAUUUUUCACUCACUCAAAGAUGGAUUAUUCACCCAGUAAUGAAAGAUGGGCAUGAAGGGAGGUCGGGAUGUUGGUGUGGGAACCACCAGGAGAUGUGAUGCUUGUGUCCCUCAGCCUCAGUGCUCACAAAACGGCUGCUCUCAAAUGUUAUGCUUUUUCUACACUAGAGGCAGAAGUUUUCCUGCUUACAGAGUGUAUUCAAAAAAAAGGGAAUGGAAUUGGAAUGCUAAGCAAUGCAUUAUUGGUGACACGGUGAGCAAAUAGGUUAUCAAUUUCUAAUGCACUCUCAGCAGCGCUGUACAAAAGCUGUGCAAAUUUGCUUUCUGUGUCGGCCAAAGGCAUCGUUGUACCAUGUGGGUGCAAUGAUUGGAGAGAACAGUUUGUAGUAGUUCACUAAACGAAGUUUAAGCCACUAUAUCUAAAUUAGGCGUUUGCCUUUGACAUCUUAUUAUUUCAUAAUUGUAACUACGAGGCUUUUCAGAGUGGGUAAUUGCUUUUUUUCCCCAAAGCUGCAUUAGUCUUCAAGGGCAAGUGAUGGUGAAAUAGAAGCCUGAGUGCCUGAAGUUGUAAAAUAAAGAGAAUCAAGCAUGAGCUAAGAGUAUAAUUCACAUAGAAACUCCCCUUCAGCUGCCGGGUCCCUCAUCUCAGAGCUGGUGGAAAAUGCUGCAGAGGAAUGGGUAGAACCCUGAAGAAAACUCAGGACAGUUUCAUGGAAGACUUGUUAUGUCGCUCACAGCACCAGAGGUUUGGACCUGCAGGCUGAGGAGGUUUGUUCUGCUGCUGUAUAUAUGCACGACCUGAAUGGGAUGCAAAGGUGUUGGGGAUCUGGGGGCAUUCAGCAUCAGCUGUGCAUCCAGGAGAUUGCUGACUUCUUCCCAAGGAGCUGAAAUCUCAUUCUUCUCUGUUUUAACGAAGCUUGCUGAUGCCCUUUUCUCUCAUUUGGUAAUCGGCUGAACUUCCUGGGAAAGGAACAGGAAAUGAGUGGAAGGAUCAGAGGCAGCAGAAAGGUGUGAGCUGGGCGACUUGCUGCUGAAAUAGGUGAAGGAGAAGGGUGAACCAGCCCUUCUGCAUUUCCCCUGCAGAAAGCAUUAAAGUGCAUACCUAAAAGAGGUUUCUAAAAGUUCAAGAGGUGAGGAGAAGCACUGGAAUGGAAAUCUCAUAGUGAUGGACCCUCACUGUGACAUUUUGAUGCUCUCUGGAGAGAAAUAUGGGCAUUUUGCUUCUCCCACCUUUGAGCUGAAGUAGUACACCAGCUGAAGUCCUUCACUCUUCUGUAUUUGAAAGGGUUUCAUUUUUGAUAAAGGUUCAGUGUUACAAAGAGAUACCAAAUCUUCAUGUGCCCUGUGCUUCAGCAAAGUACCGAUAACAGCAAUAAACCCCCUAACGUGAGAUGUUCUGGGGUUAUCUCUGAGGAAGGCUCCUCUUCAUUCGGCUGCCAAUUGCAAAUGAACCUAGUUAUAAAAUUUCUCUUUAUUGCCACCUUUCCAUAUCCCUGAGGUUAAUUCUGAAAUAUGCAUGAAAUGUAAUUAGUGCAGAUCCAUUUCUGCCAGCACGUUUUACACAAGUGGCUCCCGGUGGCAG